rnacentral:rRNA from 1 species
UGAGCUCCNGCUCUCCGAAC